rnacentral:rRNA from 1 species
UACGAAGGGUGCAAACGUUGCUCGGAGUUAUUGGGCGUAAAGCGCACGUAGGCGGCUUUGCAAGUCGGAUGUGAAAUCCCUCGGCUUAACCAAGGAAGUGCAUCCGAAACUGCAGAGCUUGAGUACUUAAGAGGAUCGCGGAAUUCCCGGUGUAGAGGUGAAAUUCGUAGAUAUCGGGAGGAACACCAGUGGCGAAGGCGGCGAUCUGGGAAGAUACUGACGCUGAGGUGCGAAAGCGUGGGGAGCAAACAGG